rnacentral:rRNA from 1 species
AGGACGAACGCUGGCGGCGUGCCUAAUACAUGCAAGUCGUACGCUUCUUUUUCCACCGGAGCUUGCUCCACCGGAAAAAGAAGAGUGGCGAACGGGUGAGUAACACGUGGGUAACCUGCCCAUCAGAAGGGGAUAACACUUGGAAACAGGUGCUAAUACCGUAUAACAAUCGAAACCGCAUGGUUUUGAUUUGAAAGGCGCUUUCGGGUGUCGCUGAUGGAUGGACCCGCGGUGCAUUAGCUAGUUGGUGAGGUAACGGCUCACCAAGGCCACGAUGCAUAGCCGACCUGAGAGGGUGAUCGGCCACAUUGGGACUGAGACACGGCCCAAACUCCUACGGGAGGCAGCAGUAGGGAAUCUUCGGCAAUGGACGAAAGUCUGACCGAGCAACGCCGCGUGAGUGAAGAAGGUUUUCGGAUCGUAAAACUCUGUUGUUAGAGAAGAACAAGGAUGAGAGUAACUGUUCAUCCCUUGACGGUAUCUAACCAGAAAGCCACGGCUAACUACGUGCCAGCAGCCGCGGUAAUACGUAGGUGGCAAGCGUUGUCCGGAUUUAUUGGGCGUAAAGCGAGCGCAGGCGGUUUCUUAAGUCUGAUGUGAAAGCCCCCGGCUCAACCGGGGAGGGUCAUUGGAAACUGGGAGACUUGAGUGCAGAAGAGGAGAGUGGAAUUCCAUGUGUAGCGGUGAAAUGCGUAGAUAUAUGGAGGAACACCAGUGGCGAAGGCGGCUCUCUGGUCUGUAACUGACGCUGAGGCUCGAAAGCGUGGGGAGCAAACAGGAUUAGAUACCCUGGUAGUCCACGCCGUAAACGAUGAGUGCUAAGUGUUGGAGGGUUUCCGCCCUUCAGUGCUGCAGCUAACGCAUUAAGCACUCCGCCUGGGGAGUACGACCGCAAGGUUGAAACUCAAAGGAAUUGACGGGGGCCCGCACAAGCGGUGGAGCAUGUGGUUUAAUUCGAAGCAACGCGAAGAACCUUACCAGGUCUUGACAUCCUUUGACCACUCUAGAGAUAGAGCUUCCCCUUCGGGGGCAAAGUGACAGGUGGUGCAUGGUUGUCGUCAGCUCGUGUCGUGAGAUGUUGGGUUAAGUCCCGCAACGAGCGCAACCCUUAUUGUUAGUUGCCAUCAUUCAGUUGGGCACUCUAGCAAGACUGCCGGUGACAAACCGGAGGAAGGUGGGGAUGACGUCAAAUCAUCAUGCCCCUUAUGACCUGGGCUACACACGUGCUACAAUGGGAAGUA